rnacentral:rRNA from 1 species
UACGUAGGGGGCAAGCGUUGUCCGGAAUCAUUGGGCGUAAAGAGCGUGUAGGCGGCUUGGUAAGUCCGCUGUGAAAGUCCAGGACUCAACCCUGGAAUGCCGGUGGAAACUGUCAAGCUUGAGUCCGGAAGAGGCGAGUGGAAUUCUUGGUGUAGCGGUGAAAUGCGCAGAUAUCAGGAGGAACACCAAUGGCGAAGGCAGCUCGCUGGGACGGUACUGACGCUGAGACGCGAAAGCGUGGGGAGCAAACAGG